GACAGAGGCCUCAAGCGUUAGGCGGAAUCACUGGGCUUAAAGCGUGUGUAGGCGGGCGGGCAAGUACCUUGUGAAAUCCCACGGCUCAACCGUGGAACGGCUGGGUAUACUGCCUGUCUUGAGCCAACUAGGGGCGAGCGGAACAGACGGUGGAGCGGUGAAAUGCGUAGAUAUCGUCUGGAACGCCAAAGGUGAAAACAGCUCGCUGGGGUUGUGCCGACGCUGAGACACGAAAGCCAGGGGAGCAAACGGG
rnacentral:rRNA from 1 species